CCCCACCACCCGCAGGGGCGCUCUACCCGCCUCUCCUGGGUUUUUGCAGUGGCCGCAGGCUCGGGACAAGCGGCGUCCCCAGAAGCCGCCCUCUGCACGGGCAGGGGAGCCGGUCACAAGCUCAGGACCGACGCUGGAACCGCAGAGCCACGUGCGGGGCGAGCCGCGGGGAGAGGGAGACGUGGGAGGGCCCGGCUGUCCUGGGUUUUUUGUUUUUAUUGUGAAUGUUUUACACUGGCCCGAACUGUAGAGGAAUGAGUCAAUUAAAAGGCCUUUGGUGGGGAGAGAGCAGGGAGGGGCAGCGGGCCAGAGGCCCUGGGGCAUCUCUGGCAAAAACAUCAACUGCAAUGUAAAUACCAUUAUUUUUUUUUAAUAUGGGAGAACGGGAAACGAUUUCCAUAGCUACCAAAGGGAGCGAGUCAAAGAAAUCUGCCUGCGUCCUUUCCACGGAAUGCCUAAAAGAUAUGAAAACACCCCGCCACAAGGAAGAUUUAACUACUGUGAGCAUAUAGCCCCAGGCUGUGUGCAGCCAAAGGACUGAUAAAGGGUGUCUAGAAAAGGCAGAGGAACCAGAGAUCAAAUUGCC